AUGUGCAAGAUCGCAUCAAGGAUCGCAUGUCAACUCCAAGGAGGUGACUGGUGGUCCCUUUUUCUAGACAAGGCAACUGGGCUAAAUUUUGAACCCCACUUCAAGUGCAGAAGGGCUGAGAGGAGCUACUCCAUGUUCAAUGUCAAGAGGGUGGUCAUAGCUUUUCUUCCAAGGAGAAAAGUUUCUAAUUUUGUGGCUGCAGUCACCAUCUGCAGUGGUUUUAGAGACCAAGAAAACAAAGUCUAUUACUGUUUCCACUGUUUCCCCAUCUAUUUGCCAUGAAGUGAUGGGACCGGAUGCCAUGAUCUUAGUUUUCUGAAUGUUGAGCUUUAAGCCAACAUUUUCACUCUCCUCUUUCACUUUCAUCAAGAGCUCUUU
rnacentral:lncRNA from 1 species